rnacentral:rRNA from 1 species
UAAUUUAAAGUCUAACCUGCCCACUGAAAUUUUAAAUGGCCGUGGUAUUUUGACCGUGCUAAGGUAGCAUAAUCAUUAGUUUUUUAAUUAAAAGCUGGAAUGAAAGGUUGCAUAAAAAAAUAACUGUCUCUAUUUAAUUUUAUUAGAAUUUUAUUUUUAAGUUAAAAAGCUUAAUUAUUUUUAAAAGACGAGAAGACCCUUUAGAGUUUUAUUAUUAUUUAAAAAUUUUAUUUUAGUAUUAAUUUAAUAUUUUUAUAAAAUAAUUUAAUUGGGGUGAUUGAAAAAUUAAAAUAACUUUUUUUUAUUUUUAACAUUAAUUUAUGAAUUAAUGAUCCAUAUAUAAUGAUUAUAAGAUUAAAUUACCUAAGGGAUAACAGCGUAAUUUUUUUAGAAAGUUCAUAUUAAAAAAAAAGAUUGUGACCUCGAUGUUGGAUUAAAAUUAAUUUUUGGUGUAGAAGCUAAAAUAUUGGGUCUGUUCGACCUUUAAAAUUUUA